AAUAGGAGGGGUUGGACUGGAUGAUCUUGCAGGUCGUUUCCAACCUUGUGAUUCUGUGAUUUUUUUCUUUGUAAGAAGAAGACACCAUUGGUCAUCCUGGGACUUCCUGGGUUUUAGAAACCAAACAAAUACAACAGCGAGGGAAAGGCAAGCUACAGGAAAGAAAUUUACACUAAUUGGCCUUUAAUCAAGGGGCAAGGAACUUGUGAAUAAAUUCUGCUAAGUACCACGUGUAACAGAAUUUACCUUAAGAACAGUGUCAGCCCAUUAACAUUCUGUGCAGUCUGAGAGUGAAGGAGUGCUGUUUAAGGUGUGAACUUCAACAUCAUCUUAUAGAGGAUUUGCUCAAACAAAAAGAAACAAUUAAGAAACCCCUGCACAGGUGGCAGGCAGGAGGUCAAUUGAAUCAGUAGAGUUUUCCUCUUAGGGUAUGUUCUGUGAAGGCUUUUUUGUGGGAAAGGUUUGAGGGAUGAGGGAGGAGGAAUUGCUUUCGUCAGGAGUCAUCCGAAAACAUUGUGCAGAAAUUGUAACACUUGCAGAAGGAACAUAUUGGCAUUUUGCAGUUGUGCAGGAUGCUGAUUGGGAUGGAGAGUAAGGAGUAUCUGCAGGAGACCGUUCUCUUCUGGUUUUAGGAACCCAGGCAGAGCUCAGGUUGCAGCGUUAGGCUUGAAUUCAGCAUAUCUGCUUCUCCCUGGUUUCGGGUUCUUUGGGUCUCCUGCCUGCUUUUCACCUUUUUAUUAAUGGAGAGUGGAGUUUCUACCACAGAGCAAAGUUUCAGGAUUAACAGAAACAAACACGAACUUUCCAAACGGAUGGAGUCGUUUCUUGGUAAGCUGGCAGUCCUGCUUAUCUU